UAGUGCCCUGUGUGCACUGAUCAAGGAAAACUACAGCACUCUGUGUGCACUGACUGAGGCUGAGCGCACUGCUUGGAACUCUCAGCACUGAGUUUGCAUUAUACAGGACAGUAAUCACCCAGUGCGCUCUGUCCAGGACCCAGACACCCAGUGCGCUCUAUCCAGGACCCCAGACGCCCAGUGCGCUCUAUCCACGACCCCAGGUACAGGGGAGAGGCUGACUCGGUUCUCAGACAGCGG